rnacentral:rRNA from 1 species
AAUGAACGCUGGCGGCAGGCCUAACACAUGCAAGUCGAACGGAUCCUUCGGGAUUAGUGGCGGACGGGUGAGUAACGCGUGGGAACAUACCCUUUGGUACGGAAUAGCCUCGGGAAACUGGGAGUAAUACCGUAUGUGGUCGAGAGACGAAAGAUUUAUCGCCAAAGGAUUGGCCCGCGUUGGAUUAGGUAGUUGGUGGGGUAAUGGCCUACCAAGCCGACGAUCCAUAGCUGGUUUGAGAGGAUGAUCAGCCACACUGGGACUGAGACACGGCCCAGACUCCUACGGGAGGCAGCAGUGGGGAAUCUUAGACAAUGGGGGAAACCCUGAUCUAGCCAUGCCGCGUGAUCGAUGAAGGCCUUAGGGUUGUAAAGAUCUUUCAGGUGGGAAGAUAAUGACUGUACCACCAGAAGAAGCCCCGGCUAACUCCGUGCCAGCAGCCGCAGUAA